CUUUAUUUUUUAUUUUUUAAAAAUCACUCUCUCGUCGAGCCCUAAUUUCUCUCCUCUGUUCGUUCUGGUUCCUUCGCUCCUGACCCGUGGAGUGCGAGUUCUUCCUUUUGCUGGUGCUGUUCCGCCGUUCCUGUGCGCCCAGCGACUUCCGUGUUUCGGUUUGGCCUUUUCCGAAGGAAGUUUCAUUCACCAACCAAUUUUCGGCUACCAAUUCUUCAGUCAUGGCUCGUAAUGAGGAGAAAGCGCAGUCGAUGUUGAAUCGGUUCAUCGCCAUGAAAGAGGAUGAGAAGAAGAAACCCAAGGAACGCCGCCCCUACCUUGCUUCGGAGUGCCGUGACUUGGCAGAAGCUGACAAAUGGCGCCAGCAAAUCAUGCGUGAAAUUGGGCGCAAAGUUGCAGAAAUCCAGAACGAAGGCCUCGGAGAGCAUCGCCUCAGGGACCUGAAUGACGAGAUAAACAAGUUGAUUCGGGAGAAGACACACUGGGAGCGGAGAAUUGUGGAGCUCGGCGGACCUAAUUAUACGAGGUAUUCUGCAAAGAUGACUGAUCUGGACGGCAACAUAGUUGAUGUUCCCAAUCCUGGGGGCAGGGGACCGGGAUACAGGUACUUUGGGGCCGCAAAAAAGUUGCCUGGUGUCCGGGAGUUGUUUGAGAAACCUCCAGAAUUACGUAAAAGGCGCACAAGGUAUGACAUAUACAAAAGGAUCGACGCUAGGUAUUAUGGUUAUAGGGAUGAUGAGGAUGGGAUAUUGGAAAAACUGGAAGGGCCUGCAGAGGACAAGAUGAGAGCUUUGGCUGUGGCAGAAUGGACACAAAUCGAAAAAAUAAAGAAGGAAGCUAGGAUGGGUGUGAAGAGUGGGGAGGUAGCAGAGGCGGGUACUGUAUCGAAGAUUUUAUUUGAGGAGGAAGAGGAUGUGGUGGAAGAAGAGAGGAGAAAAGAGAGGGAGAAGGAGGUGGAGAAUGAAAAGGAAUUUGUGGCACAUGUCCCACUUCCAGAUGAAGAGGAGAUUAAAAGGAAGGUGCUGGAGAAGAAGAAGAAGGAAAUGUUGGAUAAAUAUACGAGCAGUGAGUUGUUGGAGGAGCUGAUGGAAGCGAAACAAUUGCUUAAACCACAACAGUAGAUGAAGGGUAUGGGUGUAUCCUUGCGAACUAAAGAUGAAGCGUUUGAGAAAUUCCUUGUUUGAAAGAUCAUGUAAUUGUGAAUCUGAAGAUGGAAUGUCUCAAGGUUUAAAAGGAAAGACAUCAAUUUCUUCAAUUAUGUAAGAAGGGCGAAAGCGACCAUCAACCAUGUAGUUAAAUGUUCCUUCCGUGAUGCAAUGAUCUAGAAUUUGCACAAGCUGGGAAGACACUUGCUUGCCUACAAAAAAGGCUAAUUGCUUAUAUGACCAAAAUAUUGUGCGAGAACUCCUAUUUGUUUAAUUUACAUGUGUAUAUGCAUGUUGGUGAAACAAAUUCAUCUUGGUAAUGUAAGCUGAGGCUCUCUAGGCUCUGUUUUUGUUCA